UAUUAAGAUAAUUAAGAACAUUAUCAAUCUUCACUGUUAUAUAUAAAAAUUUAUAUUAUAUCUAAAAUCAAAGAAUUAUGCUGCUAAUCAAGUGAAUAUUCGAUCUUUCACAUUAAAGACAAUACAUAAUGUAGAAAAACUCAUCAUGUUAGCAUCCAAGUUUAAUGCAACACAUCUAAGUAAGAAAAUAUAUAAAAGCGUUAAGCAAGAAAUAUUAAACAAUGUCAUUAAACAUUAUCUGUUGCAGUGACUUGGAUGCUAAUAUAAUAAGGUAGUGAGAUUUUGUAUAAUAUGUAAUGUCUUUGCUGUGAAAGAUCAAAUGUAUAUUUUAUUAGCAGCAUAAUAUCAUAUAAGAAUAUUCCAAAUUUAUUUUAUGUAUAUCAAAUUUGGCAUUAUCUUAUUUAUUCAUAAAAGAGCUAAUUUCAUGUACUUAUAAAUAGUUAUUGUGCAAAUAGAUAAGAAGAGAUGCAAUAUUGUGGAGGAGAUAGCAACUUAGUUGCAUUUUCAUCAUAUGAUUCACCAAAGUUAUUUUUUAACAGUGCUUAGUAUAUAUGAGAAACUCACUUUGUUUAAUAUUGUGAAUUGAUUAAGUUUUUCUGUGUAGUUAGUACAUUAAGUUCCAUGAAUGUGUUAAAUAAUUUGAGAGUGUAAUUUGUUGUUAUUUUAUGUUUUGUUGUUCUUGCAACCUAUUCUUUACAGCUACUUGUAUUAAUGAAAUUUGAUAAUUAUUUUAAUCAAUUUAAUACUUUUUUAUAUUAAUACUAUGGAUUUUGUUAGAUAUAUUAAUUGGAUCCAUUUACCUUACUAAUGAAUAGAAUAGGUUUCCAGAAUAACAAAACUUGAAAUAAUGAUACAUUACACUCUCAAAUGGAUUAAUGAAUGAAUGUCCUUUAAUGCACUAAUAUUAGAAUGCAAUUAACAAGGUGAGUUAGAAUGUAAAUUAUUACAGCAAUUUGAUUGAAAGAUGAUCUAAGAGCACACUCUCCUUCAAGAUUGGAUCUGAAAUCUGAUGCGACAUGCUGGCUUCAGCUUCCUCAAUUAUGUCGUUUAGAUGUUCAUUCAAAGAACUCAAUGGCUGCAAUAUAAACAUUUGGUUGAAGUUCAAUCCCUGAGACAGGUAAGAAAAAAUCCAAGAAAUGGAUGCAAGUAUGUUAUCUCGAUGCAUCAAAAUCAAGAGAUGAAGCUGCUAAUCAAAUCAACUAUCUGAUCUUUCACAGUAAAGACAUUACAAAUGGCAGCCAUGCAAUGCUUAGAUUCAAAUUCAUUACUGUGCAUUACAACCUUCUGAGAUGCCACUUUAUUUAUUUGUUCUCAUUUUUCAUUAAAAACUUGUUUUUACAUUUUAACUGGUUUAAUGCUAUUAAUUAGGUAGAGAAAGGAUAUUGAGAAAUUAUAUUUUCUCUUAUUCCAUCUUGUAAACCAUUCCAACAAAUGCAUGUAAGUAUAUGUUAUCUCAAUGUAUCAAAAAUCAAGAAAUGUUGCUGCUAAUCU